GUGGGGAAUCUUGCGCAAUGGGCGAAAGCCUGACGCAGCCAUGCCGCGUGAAUGAUGAAGGUCUUAGGAUUGUAAAAUUCUUUCACCGGGGACGAUAAUGACGGUACCCGGAGAAGAAGCCCCGGCUAACUUCGUGCCAGCAGCCGCGGUAAUACGAAGGGGGCUAGCGUUGCUCGGAAUUACUGGGCGUAAAGGGCGCGUAGGCGGAUCGUUAAGUCAGGGGUGAAAUCCGAGAGCUCAACUCUGGAACUGCCCUUGAUACUGGCGAGCUUGAGUGUGAGAGAGAUAUGUGGAACUCCGAGUGUAGAGGUGAAAUUCGUAGAUAUUCGGAAGAACACCAGUGGCGAAGGCGACAUACUGGCUCAUUACUGACGCUGAGGCGCGAAAGCGUGGGGAGCAAACAGGAUUAGAAACCCUUGUAGUCC
rnacentral:rRNA from 1 species